rnacentral:rRNA from 1 species
UACGGAGGGUGCGAGCGUUGUCCGGAAUCACUGGGCUUAAAGGGCGCGUAGGCGGUCGACCAAGUCCGGGGUGAAAUCUUUCGGCUUAACCGGAAAAGUGCCUUGGAUACUGGUCGGCUGGAGGGAGGUAGGGGCAGGUGGAACUUCCAGUGGAGCGGUGAAAUGCGUUGAUAUUGGAAGGAACGCCGGUGGCGAAAGCGACCUGCUGGACCUCUUCUGACGCUGAGGCGCGAAAGCUAGGGGAGCAAACGGG